AUACUGGACAAAUACAGCUUUUUCCUGUGGCCUAACUUCUAGGAAUAAUUUUUUUCUAGGGAGGGUGAACAUUUCUCUCACUGAAGGAAAUCUGAAUGGGACAAGCCUGCAACAAUCUCAACAACCUGAUUAUCACCUUGGGCUAUCCUCUAUCUGAUCACCUGGCCAUUCAUUAGCUUGGUAUCCGCCCUUGCUCCACCCCUAACUGCUGUCCCCUGCAACCUUCUGUCCCAGAUCACAUUAUCACCAUGAAGCUAAACUAUUCUUUGAAGAACCUAAGAUCCUCUGAGAUGGAAUUAUGGAAAGAGAAUACUCUACAUGUGAUCAAAGACUAUUGGAAAUGCUUCUGCAAACUUACAAAAGUAGCAUUAUACAUGGAGUAUGAGGCUAUUUUGAUUGGAAGGAAAAGCACAAAAAUGGAAUUAUACCAACCUUGUGGGAAGCUGAGGAGAUAACUCCAUGCACCUUUUCAUGCUAAGAAAUCCUGGGCAGUCCAAUCUGCCACUCUUUCAACUCCUGGGCCAUCAAACAUCUGCUUGAGGAACAGUUUGACUCCCACCCUUCUACAUAAAUCACAUUUGUUAAAACUUUCAUGAGAUGGUAUUUUUCUCUUUUUUUCUCACCUUUCCUUUGCAAGGAAAUGAAGCCAUAAUUUAAGAGAUGAGGAGGUGAGAUAUUAAGCUAUAAGCAACCUGUGCAAGUUUGCAUUCAGGAUGUAAGAAGAACUGUUAGCAUAGAACGAUGAAUAUCAUAAUUACAGAGAUCUAAUUAAGCACCCAGUCAUCAACACAUCUUUGAAUAAUUGUAAGUAAAUGACACUUUUCCCUUACCUGAAGUAAAUCAUCCAUAGGGAGGUGUUCUGUACACAGAUAUUUCCCUGUGUUUCUCCUGUAAGUUCAGGAUGUUUCCAUAUUAUUAAAUCCCAUAGGGCUUCUCUGCUCUGCCAAUAAACCCUACAAAGGAAAGAUUCAGAUGAACACUUAGCAAGGAUUCUUGACCUGAAGUCUACAAUUUUAAAACAAAAUAUAGUUUG
rnacentral:lncRNA from 1 species